AUUGAACGCUGGCGGCAUGCUUUACACAUGCAAGUCGAACGGCAGCACGGGGGCAACCCUGGUGGCGAGUGGCGAACGGGUGAGUAAUACAUCGGAACGUGCCCAGUAAUGGGGGAUAGCCCGGCGAAAGCCGGAUUAAUACCGCAUACGCCCUGAGGGGGAAGGCGGGGGACCGAAAGGCCUCGCGUUAUUUGAGCGGCCGAUGGCUGAUUAGCUAGUUGGUAGGGUAAAGGCCUACCAAGGCGACGAUCAGUAGCUGGUCUGAGAGGACGACCAGCCACACUGGGACGGAGACACGGCCCAGACUCCUACGGGAGGCAGCAGUGUGGAAUUUUGGACAAGGGGCGAAAGCCUGAUCCAGCAAUGCCGCGUGUGCGAAGAAGGCCUUCGGGUUGUAAAGCACUUUUGUCAGGAACGAAAAGUUUGGCUCUAAUACAGUCGGACGAUGACGGUACCUGAAGAAUAAGCACCGGCUAACUACGUGCCAGCCGCCGCCGUAAGAC
rnacentral:rRNA from 1 species